AGAAUUGAUCUUGGUCAGGAUGAACGCUAGCUACAGGCUUAACACAUGCAAGUCGAGGGGCAGCAUUGGAGUAGCAAUACUCAGAUGGCGACCGGCGCACGGGUGAGUAACACGUAUCCAACCUGCCGCUUACUCGGGGAUAGCCUUUCGAAAGAAAGAUUAAUACCCGAUGGUAUAAAGAGUUCGCAUGUUCUCUUUAUUAAAGAAUUUCGGUAAGCGAUGGGGAUGCGUUCCAUUAGAUAGUUGGCGGGGUAACGGCCCACCAAGUCUACGAUGGAUAGGGGUUCUGAGAGGAAGGUCCCCCACAUUGGAACUGAGACACGGUCCAAACUCCUACGGGAGGCAGCAGUGAGGAAUAUUGGUCAAUGGACGAGAGUCUGAACCAGCCAAGUAGCGUGAAGGAUGACUGCCCUAUGGGUUGUAAACUUCUUUUAUAAGGGAAUAAAGUGAGGGACGUGUCCCUUUUUGUAUGUACCUUAUGAAUAAGGAUCGGCUAACUCCGUGCCAGCAGCAGC
rnacentral:rRNA from 1 species